rnacentral:lncRNA from 10 species
CAGUGAGCUGAGGAGGCUCAGCAGUGCCUGCACGUCCCCUCGCCACAAUGUCAUGUGCCACCUCUUCAAAGGAGGGAUGUACCAGCUAGUGGACGUGACCUUGACUGCAAAGGGCGGCACGCAGCUGAUGUAAUGGUCGCUUAAGUGUUCACAAAUGCCUGAACACCCUGUCCUACCUGGUCCUACCUGGAUGCUGGCCUCAGUAAGCUCCUGGGCUCAUUGAAGAUGAACCUAGCAGUAGUAUUUACACCACUUGUUGUGUGCCCACUGUGGGCCCGGCGCCAUGCCGAGUGCUCUAUGGAUGUGAGAGAAACGGAGGCCCAGAAAGCAGAAAUGAUGUGUUAAGAUCACUCAUCAAGCUGAUGGUACAGAGGUUAGAGCCUCUGCUCCCUGCUCUACCUCUUUCCCUUACUCCACAUCCAUGCCUGUCUCUUCCAAUGGGUCGGCAUCCACCCUGACACAUUAAAGCCAAAAGGAACCUUAAGCUAGGGAAGGGGCUCCAGAACUUUAGUGAAAGAUUCAAACAUGUCCACUCAACUCAAUGGAGAAAAUACAAUAUUCAAUCAAUGGUGUUGGGAUGCCUGGAAUAUUGUUGGAGAGGGAUCAUAAAAAUGGAACCAAAACAAUUCCAUUUGGGUCAAAGAUUUAAGUGUCAUAAAGCCAUGUAAAUUCUAUAAGGAAGUAUGGGUAAAUUGAUUUACAUUUUGGAAUAGGAAA